rnacentral:rRNA from 1 species
AAUGAACGUUGGCGGCGUGGAUUAGGCAUGCAAGUCGUACGGGUCGGUGUAGCAAUACAACGGCAAGUGGCGAAAGGGAGAGUAACACGUAGAUACCUACCCUCUGGUCGGGGAUACCGCGGCAUAACCGCAAGUAAUACCCGAUAAAAUCUCCGGAUCAAAGGUGUGAUUCCGCCGGAGGAGGGGUCUGCGUUCUAUCAGCUUGUUGGUGAGGUAAUGGCUCACCAAGGCUAAGACGGAUACGGGGUGUGAGGGCUUGCCCCCGCUCACUGGGACUGAGACACUGCCCAGACACCUACGGGUGGCUGCAGUCGAGAAUCUUCGGCAAUGGGCGCAAGCCUGACCGAGCGACGCCGCGUGCGGGAUGAAGGCCUUCGGGUUGUAAACCGCUGUCGAGGGGAAUGAAGUGUAGGUGGGUACUCCCAUCUAUUUGACAGAUCCCUGGAGGAAGCAUGGGCUAAGUUCGUGCCAGCCGCCGCAGUAAAAC